UAAUAUUAGGGGAGUAGAGCCAGUU
rnacentral:piRNA from 2 species